rnacentral:pre_miRNA from 1 species
ACAUACUUCUUUAUGUACCCAUAUGGACAUAUGAAAGCUAUGGAAUGUAAAGAAGUAUGUAU